AGUCUGUGUUUUGUCGCCUAAUGUUGUUAUUCACCGGUAACCGUUUCUUGUAGAGAAAAAUGCCGUAUAAUCUCUGUUCAAAAGAAGUUUUUAUGAGUUUUGGAAGUUGAAUUUGUUAAGCAAGAGUAUGAUAUCGUGCAAUGAGUUCACUUUUUACUUCCCUGGAUUGCAAAAUCGGUGGCUGAUCGUGAGGACAUGGAUUGAAUCACUAUCAGGCAUUUGCAUGUAGGAUUGAUUCCAUCCUGCACUCUACUAAUGUUCCUCAUCGAAUGUUCUUUCACUCCGACAAAUCAACAGUAGUAACACGCAAAACUGACUAUCGAAUGGGACAGGGACCUAAAUUUAAUGUCAACUUGUKUGGCAAGUGGAAAGUUCGACAAAGCAAUACCUAAAUGUAAAGUUUUCAGAUUGUAAAUUGGUAUCUUAAAGAGAAAAGAGUUUGAAGAACGGAGAAGUCUUGAAGGUUUGUAGGAAGUAAUCACUCUUUAUGUAGUUUGGAGACAGAUGGUGAAGAGCAUUAAAAGUGAGUAAUAGGAACUUGUAUUUUAUACGUUCUGAUACAGGUAGCCAGUGAAGAUUCUUUAAAAUUGGAGUGAUAUGGUCGUGUUUUCUGGAGAGAGUUAGCAGUCAGGUAGCAGCAUUCUGAAUAGAUUGGACCUUGUCAAUAGAACAUUUAGGAAGACCAAACAAAAGAGAGUUACAAUUGUCAAUUUUCGAUGUUAUAAAAGCAUGWAUCAGUUUCUCAGUGGUAGUGAAAGAAGUGAAAGAAAGAAAUCUUUGUAUUCUGGAAAUAUUCUUGAGAUGGUAGAAAGCAGACUUUGAUAGUUGUUUGAUUUUUGUAACCAUGGAAAGAGUCGAGUCAAACAUUACACCAAUGUUUCUUGUAAGGGGGGACAGAGAGAUAACAUCAGAACCAAAUUGGAUUGAAGGAUAUAAAAUUAAAACCAAAAGAAACUAUAAUUACAAGUAAUAGAUUUAAGUACACAAACUAACAUACUUAAAUAAUGUAUCAUGAAAAUGUAAAAUUAGGAUUUAAGGAUUUAUAUUGUCUUAGAAUUAACUUUACKAAAAUUACUAUUCACCUGGACUCAUGACCAUCAUAACCAAUAGACCUCCUUGGCUGGGGCGUAAUGUUUUCCUAUUUAAAACCUUGUGAAAUUCCCUAGAGUAUCAUUUCUUUGUUUAACUUUGUUUUUCUCAGUUGCAAAUUAAAACGAAGAUUCAAUUCAAACAAAGUAUCAUAUUCUCAGGGGAAUGACACAUGGUCUGAAAUGGGAAGUCAUUAUGCCCAAGCCGACAAGGUCUAUUCAGCAUGCAUGCAUGCUUCUUCAGUUAAUCAAUCUCACUGUUAAGACAGCUGCUUGAAAUUUUUUUAAGUGCAUAAUAUUGUAAUGUUUAAAAUAUGARCAAUAACCAGCGUGAGUGAUUGUAUGGCAGAUACAACGAGGACACAAAUGUUGUAAUCUACUUAUCAUAUUCAUCUUUAAUGAAGAUACUGAUUUCUGAAGAAUACAUUUCAAAAGUAAUGUCAU